rnacentral:lncRNA from 13 species
GGCCGCUCCGCGCCCCGCGCACCGCCCCGGCCGCCCCCGCGGAGCGCCCGGCCUGGGGCACCUCCCGGCCCGGGAAACCCACGGAGAAUCGCCGGGAGCGGCGCGGUGGCUUCUAGCCUGUCGCCCGGUGCGAUGCGCGGCUGGGGGCUGCGCGCCUCUCCGCGGCUCGCCCCGCGGGACAGCGCCAAAAUAGCGGCCCCGCCUGAAACACCCCGGGGCGGCAGGGGAGAGUCCGGCUCUGCUCUAGCCCAGCGCUGCCCGCGGGCCGUGAGCUCCGCGGGAGAGGGGCAGGCGGGGCAGGGCAGCCCGCGGACCGGGAGCGCUUCUGCCCACCGCUUCGCUCGCGAUGAGCGGCCGCGCACUUUCAGCCGAGCCCAAAGCCGUACGCGAGUCCCCGAGCUUAACGCAGUGGAGCUCAGAGCGGCGGGUCGUAGAGAGAACAACCCGAUGUCUCAGAAAUCUUACGUCGUUCUUAGCCACUGUAUACAAAUUUUGGAGAGUUUCCUGGCAAAUUACAGCAGCAUCCUACAGCAAGCUGACAAAUAGAUUCCAGGAAUGCCACGCAUCUAGGAGGGAAACACGAAUCCGUCUCUUUAGCCUGAAGCACGAAAUUGGCUUAAAGCUCAUUUUGCAGAUAACCAGAAACGAAAUCACCAGUGCGUGGACCAGGAAGAAGCACGACUGCAGAGGAGGAAGGAACUUUUCACAUGGUAUCAGGAAAAUAGUAUUGCAUGUAGAGACUGGAGAGAAGAAACUGCACUCGGCAUAUGAGAAGCUGAUAACUGGGCUAUAGAGGGAAAGCUGGAUUUGAUUGGGCAACAGCAGGUAAAAAGGGCAGGGCACAGUGACACAGGGCUCAGCACAUGGGCAGAAGGCCUCAGGGUGGUAUAGAACAAAGCUGUGGAGGGUUUCAGAGACAGGCACAACAGCUGAAUGAUGUCAAAAGUGGUUUUGACCAGCCAGGUAAGAGUUCAGGUUAAGUGCCGAUGUGUCUAGGAAACUUCACUAAGGAAGAAGCUAAAAAUGAACAUGCUGCUCACUACAGUAUUUUGGUACUACUCUCAAUAGUGCAUUUAGCAUUGAUCCUGCAGUAAAAGAGCUCCCUGACAGAAGCAGAAAGUCUUCUGCAAACAGAACAUUAGAAAUUACUUAGAUAAUGCCAAAGUCAGCCUUAACCUGCGAAACUGUAAAAUACUAUGGCCGUUGGGGUUCUAG